rnacentral:rRNA from 1 species
UGCGUUGAGCUAACCGGUACUAAUGAACCGUGAGGCUUAACCUU